rnacentral:rRNA from 1 species
GACGAACGCUGGCGGCGUGCUUAACACAUGCAAGUCGAACGGAAAGGCCCUGCUUGCAGGGUACUCGAGUGGCGAACGGGUGAGUAACACGUGGGUGAUCUGCCCUGCACUUCGGGAUAAGCUUGGGAAACUGGGUCUAAUACCGGAUAGGAGCCAUCUUUAGUGUGGUGGUUGGAAAGUUUUUUCGGUGUAGGAUGAGCUCGCGGCCUAUCAGCUUGUUGGUGGGGUAAUGGCCUACCAAGGCGGCGACGGGUAGCCGGCCUGAGAGGGUGUACGGCCACAUUGGGACUGGGAUACGGCCCAGACUCCUACGGGAGGCAGCAGUGGGGAAUAUUGCACAAUGGGCGCAAGCCUGAUGCAGCGACGCCGCGUGGGGGAUGAAGGCCUUCGGGUUGUAAACCCCUUUCGCUAGGGACGAAGCUUUUUUGUGACGGUACCUAGAUAAGAAGCACCGGCUAACUACGUG